CCCUUAGAUGUCCUGGGCCGCACGCGCGUUACACUGAUGCAUUCAACGAGCUUAUAACCUUGGCCGCGAGGCCUGGGCAAUCUUGUUAACGUGCAUCGUGAUAGGGAUAGAUUAUUGAAAUUAUUAAUCUUGAACGAGGAAUUCCUAGUAAACGCAGAUCAUCAAUCUGCAUUGAUUACGUCCCUGCCCUUUGUACACACCGCCCGUCGCACCUACCGAUUGGAUGGUCCGGUGAAGCCUCGGGAUUGUGGUUCUUGCCGCUUUAUUGUGGCGUGACCGCGAGAACUUGUCUAAACCUUAUCAUCUAGAGGAAGGUGAAGUCGUAACA
rnacentral:rRNA from 1 species